rnacentral:rRNA from 1 species
GGGUUGUGAGGUUAAGCGACUAAGCGUACACGGUGGAUGCCCUGGCAGUCAGAGGCGAUGAAGGGCGUGCUAAUCUGCGAUAAGCGCCGGUAAGGUGAUAUGAACCGUUAUAACCGGCGAUACCCGAAUGGGGAAACCCAGUGUGACUCGUCACACUAUCAUUAACUGAAUCCAUAGGUUAAUGAGGCGAACCGGGGGAACUGAAACAUCUAAGUACCCCGAGGAAAAGAAAUCAACCGAGAUUCCCCCAGUAGCGGCGAGCGAACGGGGAGGAGCCCAGAGCCUGAAUCAGCAUGUGUGUUAGUGGAAGCGUCUGGAAAGGCGCGCGAUACAGGGUGACAGCCCCGUACACAAAAGCGCAUGUGCUGUGAGCUCGAUGAGUAGG